rnacentral:rRNA from 1 species
AGAGUUUGAUCCUGGCUCAGGACGAACGCUGGCGGCGUGCCUAACACAUGCAAGUCGAGCGAGAGACUUCGGUCUCUAGCGGCGGACGGGUGAGUAACACGUGGGUAACCUGCCUCAUAGAGGGGGAUAGCCUCCCGAAAGGGAGAUUAAUACCGCAUAAGAAGUGAAGAUCGCAUGACUUUUGCUUUAAAGGAGUCGUCUUUGAAAAAAGACGAUUCCGCUAUGAGAUGGACCCGCGGCGCAUUAGCUAGUUGGUGAGGUAAAGGCUCACCAAGGCGACGAUGCGUAGCCGACCUGAGAGGGUGAUCGGCCACAUUGGAACUGAGACACGGUCCAGACUCCUACGGGAGGCAGCAGUGGGGAAUAUUGCACAAUGGGGGAAACCCUGAUGCAGCAACGCCGCGUGAGUGAAGAAGGCCUUCGGGUUGUAAAGCUCUGUCUUUUGGGACGAUAAUGACGGUACCAAAGGAGGAAGCCACGGCUAACUACGUGCCAGCAGCCGCGGUAAUACGUAGGUGGCAAGCGUUGUCCGGAUUUACUGGGCGUAAAGGAUGCGUAGGUGGAUGAUUAAGUGAGAUGUGAAAUACCCGGGCUUAACUUGGGUGCUGCAUUUCAAACUGGUUAUCUAGAGUGCAGGAGAGGUAAGUGGAAUUCCUAGUGUAGCGGUGAAAUGCGUAGAGAUUAGGAAGAACACCAGUGGCGAAGGCGACUUACUGGACUGUAACUGACACUGAGGCAUGAAAGCGUGGGGAGCAAACAGGAUUAGAUACCCUGGUAGUCCACGCCGUAAACGAUGGGUACUAGGUGUAGGAGGUAUCGACCCCUUCUGUGCCGCCGUUAACACAAUAAGUACCCCGCCUGGGGAGUACGGUCGCAAGAUUAAAACUCAAA